rnacentral:rRNA from 1 species
AAUAGAUACCCAGGUAGUCCACGCCGUAAACGAUGAGUGCUAAGUGUUAGGGGGUUUCCGCCCCUUAGUGCUGCAGCUAACGCAUUAAGCACUCCGCCUGGGGAGUACGGUCGCAAGACUGAAACUCAAAGGAAUUGACGGGGGCCCGCACAAGCGGUGGAGCAUGUGGUUUAAUUCGAAGCAACGCGAAGAACCUUACCAGGUCUUGACAUCCCGCUGACCGUUCUAGAGAUAGAUCUUUCCCUUCGGGGACAGCGGUGACAGGUGGUGCAUGGUUGUCGUCAGCUCGUGUCGUGAGAUGUUGGGUUAAGUCCCGCAACGAGCGCAACCCUUGAUCUUAGUUGCCAGCAUUCAGUUGGGCACUCUAAGGUGACUGCCGGUGAUAAACCGGAGGAAGGUGGGGAUGACGUCAAAUCAUCAUGCCCCUUAUGACCUGGGCUACGCACGUGCUACAAUGGACGGUACAGAGGGUCGCAACCCCGCGAGGGUGAGCUAAUCCCAUAAAACCGUUCUCAGUUCGGAUUGUAGGCUGCAACUCG